rnacentral:rRNA from 1 species
GAUGAACGCUAGCUACAGGCUUAACACAUGCAAGUCGAGGGACCGGCGCACGGGUGAGUAAUACGUAUCCUACCUGCCCUUUACUAGGGGCUAGCCUUUCGAAAGACAGAUUAAUACAUGAUAUAAAGGUUGGGGAUGCGUUCCAUUAGGUUGUUGGUGAGGUAACGGCUCAGCAAGCCUUAGAUGGAUAGGGGUUCUGAGUGGAAGGUCCCCGCCAUUGGAACUGAGACACGGUGCAAACGCCUACGGGAGGCAGCAGUGAGGAAUAUUGGUGAAUGGGCGCUAGCCUGAACCAGCCAAGUAGCGUGUAGGGUGAAGGCUUAUGGGUCGUAAACUUCUUGUAUAUAAAAAUAGGUAUUAUAUGAAUAAGGAACGGCUAACUCCGUGCCAGCAGCCGCGGUAAUUC